rnacentral:rRNA from 1 species
UACGUAGGAGGCAAGCGUUGUCCGGAUUUAUUGGGCGUAAAGAGCGUGUAGGCGGUUCGGUAGGUCCGUUGUGAAAACUCGAGGCUCAACCUCGAGACGCCGAUGGAAACCCUCGAACUAGAGUCCGGAAGAGGAGAGUGGAAUUCCUGGUGUAGCGGUGAAAUGCGCAGAUAUCAGGAAGAACACCCGUGGCUAAGGCGGCUCUCUAGUACGGUACUGACGCUGAGACGCGAAAGCGUGGGGAGCGAACAGG